CCUCCCUGGAGUUUUCCGGACACCCAGCGUCCAGCACGCACAGCCCUGCCUGAGGCGCGCCACCGCGGCGCUCCUUCUAAACUAGGAGGCAAAUCCGAGCUUGAAUUCGUACAAUGAUAAACACCGCCCAAUUUGGGCAUGGGCGGGACGCAGGCGGAGACACACGCGGCUGGUGGGCAGGGCACUGAUAGUAAAGAAAAAACAACCCCAGUUCUAGCGGCCGUCUGGAGAGGCGCGUCCCGCUCCACGUGCUGGCAGCAGUUAGCAACCUCUCUGGGAGGUUCUGGCCACAGAACUCCUGCAUGGCGCCCCAACCCGGCUCCGGCGAGGGGUCGGAUCCUGGGUUCCCAGGUUCAGAAGUCUUCAGAUCCCGGAAAAGCAUUCAUCUGUGAAGUCAGUGGGCGCGGGUCUCCCAGAAAUCAUGCUUCCGGAAGGACCGCGGCAGUUCCAACUCGGGGGCCCAAGAACAAAUUGGGUUCAGCGUGGGACGAACCAUUCCCAGCGCCCUGGCAGGAAGCCUGCUCCUGGGGCUGGUCAGGCAACCAGCCGGGACCACAGAGGCCUCACAGACAAAGGCUGGGUGGGGGGAGAGCGGCUGCUCUUGCGCCCCACCCCCAUACGCCCUUCUUCUGUUUCACCGGUAAAUAAAGAAGGCUGACAUUCAAGUGAACCAUAAUCUGCGUCGUGUUCCCGAUUAUCCGCCUCGCUUUUCUAAGUGUGAAGACAGUUAACAGUGUGUGUGUGUGUGUGUGUGUGUGUGUGUGUGUGUGUAGAGGUGGAGUGAAUGAACGAUUCUUCCUUAAGUCUGAGAAGAGUAGCGCUAAAAAGAUGCAAGAUCGCUUUACUGACAACCUAAAAUGUUGAGAAUGAUGAGAAUAAGGAUAACAUUAAUAGCUAAUUCUGUCUUGAAUUACUAUGCACUGGCACUCUUCUAAGUGCUUUCCUUGAAUUAAGUCACUCCAUUCUCACAGUAAUCCUAAGAAACAGAACUUUUAAGGAAAUCAUUCCCAUUCUGCAGACCAGGAAACUGAGGCCAGGAAUUUGACUUGCCUCAGGUCUUCAAAAGGAAGUGUUCCAAACACAGGAAAACAGUCACAUUUAUAAUAGCUACUGUGUGUGGAUGCCAAGGACCCUGUGGAAAUUCUGUUGAGAACCCUGGCACCAUCUACGGAAGAUGGGAGGAUGGAUUUGCCCAUUUUACAGAUGAGGAGACUGAGGCCAGGCAGAGAGCACCAGAAAACAAUGAAGGUAGUGAAUAGCACAGGUUGGAAUCCACAUGGUUUCCUCCAAAGGUGGGUUCACUGCGGUCUGACACCCUCAGCUGAGCACAGAAGCUAAGAGGUGUGUCUGGAGUAAUCAAGGUGGGGGGAAGGGGAACCCUCUGGAGAGGAGAGGUCUGUGCUGCCCCUCCCCCAAGAGCUGGGAGAUUUCGGGCAUCCUGAGUAGGAGACCCAGAGUCCUCACUUACACCCUGCCAAAACCGGGGAGACUCUUUCCUCCCUUGCUCUCCUCUCCCAUUUUGAAAGGAUGGGGAGCAGUGUCGUCUGCUUCUCUCAGGGGAAGUGAGCCACGAAGGUAAGGGCUGGCUGGUCAGCUGAUGCUGAUUUAGUCCCGAAGAGCAGGGGCAGUUGGGGCCCGGGCACUGCCU
rnacentral:lncRNA from 1 species